AGCAUGCGCCGCCGUGCCGAGUGCUUGAGGGGGCGUGUUUCCGGCUUGUAGAAGUGGUGGGGGGAUUCGGCGGGUGCGAGGUCCCUCACCAGAUGUGUAACCUGCUGUCCGCUGAAGCGAACCUAAUGAGACGUGGUGAAAAAAGGUCCCCCAGGGAGCAAAUCUGAAAGCCGGCUCCUCCAGAACACAGACUACAGGGGCCGAGACGACUUUAGACGCUGGUCCCCAGCAGAUUGAUAGAUGAAGCAUAAAACAAGACCAGAUGCUGUGGUUUCCAGGAUGCACUUGGCUUCCCAUCCUUUAUAACCUGGAGCA